ACGCUGGAAGUCUGCAAGAUGGAUAGAAAAGGUUUGGUGAGUCCCUUAAUCCGAAAAGCAGAACACACACCCUCCUGAUAAACAGCUUGGGGGAGAUCACGAUUUGAGAUCCCAUGAUCUGCUAUGUCAGAGGAAGAUCUGCAGAAGGAAACAUGCACUGAGGUCAGUCUUGCCAGGGUGAAGUAAACCCAACCUCCUUAAAAGAGGGCAGGAGGCUGUUCUUCCAGGAAGGCCUGCAGAGACCCUGGGAACGGGACCAGCCCAGCUCGCAAGUAUGAAGAGAAUGUCGGAGAGGAAGUGGUGGCUGUGAGUCAGCGUGAGUCAUCUUGUUCCAAUGAGAAUGAAGACUGAGAUGGGCCAAGUAAGGAGCAGAAAGCAAAAGGACUCGGCUGAAGUGUGCAGCCUCCAGCAGCUCUC